rnacentral:lncRNA from 1 species
CAUUUCCUGAACCUUAUCUUUUUUUUUUUUUCUUUUCUUUUUAGGACCUGCAGCAUAGGGAAGUUCCCAGGCUAGGGAUCCAGUCAGAGCUGCAGCUGCCAGCCCCUACGACAGCCAUAGCAACACCAAAUCCAAGCCACUUCUGCAACAUACACCAUAGUUUUCUGCAACACUGAAUCUUUAACCCACUGAGCGAGGCCAGGAUUUGAACCCACAUCUUCAUGGACACUAGUUGGGUUCCUAACUCUGGUCCACAAUGGGAACUCCUCUUAUACUUUAUCUUAAUGACCAAAUAGGCACUUUUUUUUUUUCCCAUCUCACCAACAGCAUUUGGAAGUUCCCAGGCCAGGUAUUGAACACACGCCACAGCAAUAAACUGAGCCGCUGCAGUGACAACUCAAGAUCCUUAACCCAUUGCAUCACAGGGAACUCCCCGCAGUGCCAUCACCUCUCAGCUGAGAGCCCACUGCGCCAGAGCCUCUGUAAUGCCCUUCAGCUCAAUCAUCACCAUUCAUAGACUCACAACCACCCCCGCUCCAGAAGCCUCAGCUGAGCCAGCAAAGGACAGUCACGGGAGAGUUGGGCCAGCUGACANAACAGAUAAUGAGGAAGCCACGUCCCCACCCCACAAAACACACUCAGAGUCAGAACGAAGCUGGGAAAAGCCACAACUGGGAGAUGAUCAGUGGGCCUUUAUAAACACAGUCCUGGUAACAGGUCCCUUGGCUCCUCCUUAUGCCCAUCGGCAUUUCCGGUGCUUAGAAGUUAGCUUCACUUCUGAACAUAUCAUUUUUUUAAAUUGCCAACAUAAAUAAGCUCCCCAUGCCGUUAACAAGGCCCCAAGCGCCUCCUCGGAUGAGUCCCUGGCGGCUGAAGUGCCAGGAGCGCUUCCAGCAGAGGGUCAGGCUCCAGAAUCCCUGCCCCACGUGCCCCAACCUCCCUCAGGGCCCCACCACAGCUGGGACACAGAAACAGCAGGAAAAGGAACUCAGCACCCCCGCCCCACGACCUUCCCAGACACACCCUUCAGGGACACCAGGGUCUCCAGCCUGUCUCACCAGUGUCAGGGCCCAGGACACGUCCUCCAUGUCCAGCAAAGGACCCCUGGGUCAUUGAAUCAGAACAACGGAGUGAGGUGUCCCCCAGGUUCCUGCAAGGGCCCAAGGGGCCAAGAGAACCUCUCUGCAUCCAGACCCAGAAUCCAGGAGACAGGAGACAGGAGACAGGAGACAGGAGGGCUGCUACCUGCUCCUGCUGAGUCUUCCUGCUGGCAAGAUGGAGCCAUAAGCCCCACCUCUCAAGAGACCCCACCCUCCCUCUGCUCAAGACCAAAGCCAGGGAGCCAGUGACCCAAAUCCCCGAGGCCUGAACCUUCCAGGGCCCAGGAGAAGAUAAGCAGUGGUGUCACCUGCAUAUCUUGGAAAC